rnacentral:rRNA from 1 species
UACGUAGGCGGCUUGUCGCGUCGUCCGUGAAAACCUGCAGCUCAACUGCAGGCUUGCGGUCGAUACGGGCAGGCUGGAGUUCGGUAGGGGAGACUGGAAUUCCCGGUGUAGCGGUGAAAUGCGCAGAUAUCGGGAGGAACACCUAUGGCGAAGGCAGCUCGCUGGGACGUUACUGACGCUGAGACGCGAAAGCGUGGGGAGCAAACAGG